UACAGCCACAUCACAUUGAAGCACUGGUUCCUGUAUGAUCACUGAAGUUAUGUAACUUUGAGCCUGGGCAGUAAUAAGAUGGAUGACUACUUGGGAAUACCAGGUGCUGUAAG